rnacentral:rRNA from 1 species
UACGGAGGGUGCAAGCGUUAUCCGGAUUCACUGGGCGUAAAGCGUGCGCAGGCGGUUUCGUAAGUCUGUCGUGAAAGCCCCGGGCUCAACCUGGGAAUUGCGAUGGAGACUGCGAGGCUAGAGUGUGUCAGAGGGGGUAGAAUUCCACGUGUAGCAGUGAAAUGCGUAGAUAUGUGGAGGAACACCGAUGGCGAAGGCAGGUCUCUGGGCCACUACUGACGCUGAGAAGCGAAAGCAUGGGGAGCGAACAGG